GAAGAAAGCACUAGCAGGCCUCUUCGGCUUGUUGGGAUCCUUCGCAGCCUUGGCCGAUUUCUUACUAGCUCCAGCACUUUUGCUCUUCAAUUUAGUAUCGGUCUUUUUAGGCGCCGCCUUGGAUUUACCGCCCUUCAUGAUGAAUCCUGUAAAACUCUAGGGUUUGGGAAGAAGAUAAGAAAGGAGAGUGUGAGAGUGAAAUGUGAGGAGAAAUUUGGCUUGGUUUGGUUUGGUUCGUGUGAUGCGUUUUGGGAUUGGC
rnacentral:misc_RNA from 1 species